GAUGAACGCUGGCGGCGUGCCUAAUACAUGCAAGUCGAGCGAACAGAUGAGGAGCUUGCUCCUCUGACGUUAGCGGCGGGCGGGUGAGUAACACGUGGAUAACCUACCUAUAAGACUGGGAUAACUUCGGGAAACCGGAGCUAAUACCGGAUAAUAUAUUGAACCGCAUGGUUCAAUAGUGAAAGACGGUUUUGCUGUCACUUAUAGAUGGAUCCGCGCCGCAUUAGCUAGUUGGUAAGGUAACGGCUUACCAAGGCAACGAUGCGUAGCCGACCUGAGAGGGUGAUCGGCCACACUGGAACUGAGACACGGUCCAGACUCCUACGGGAGGCAGCAGUAGGGAAUCUUCCGCAAAGGGCGAAAGCCUGACGGAGCAACGCCGCGUGAGUGAUGAAGGUCUUCGGAUCGUAAAACUCUGUUAUUAGGGAAGAACAAAUGUGUAAGUAACUAUGCACGUCUUGACGGUACCUAAUCAGAAAGCCACGGCUAACUACGUG
rnacentral:rRNA from 1 species